rnacentral:rRNA from 1 species
AAUAGAUACCCAGGUAGUCCACGCCGUAAACGGUGGGUACUAGGUGUGGGUUUCCUUCCUUGGGAUCCGUGCCGUAGCUAACGCAUUAAGUACCCCGCCUGGGGAGUACGGCCGCAAGGCUAAAACUCAAAGGAAUUGACGGGGGGCCCGCACAAGCGGCGGAGCAUGUGGAUUAAUUCGAUGCAACGCGAAGAACCUUACCUGGGUUUGACAUGCACAGGACGCACCUAGAGAUAGGUGUUCCCUUGUGGCCUGUGUGCAGGUGGUGCAUGGCUGUCGUCAGCUCGUGUCGUGAGAUGUUGGGUUAAGUCCCGCAACGAGCGCAACCCUUGUCCUAUGUUGCCAGCGGGUUAUGCCGGGGACUCGUAGGAGACUGCCGGGGUCAACUCGGAGGAAGGUGGGGAUGACGUCAAGUCAUCAUGCCCCUUAUGUCCAGGGCUUCACACAUGCUACAAUGGCCGGUACAAAGGGCUGCGAUGCGUGAGGUGGAGCGAAUCCUUGUAAAGCCGGUCUCAGUUCGGAGUCGGGGUCUGCAACUCGACCCG